GGUUUCCGUAGGUGAACCUGCGGAAGGAUCAUUAUUGAAUAAACUUGAACAGGCUGUUUUGCUGGCCCCUCGGUGGGGUAAGUGCACGCUUGUCAUCUUUGUUUCUCCCAACUGUGCACAUAUUGUAGACCCUGGAUUGAGGAUUGCUGUGUGGGCUUUCCUUGCAUUUNUUUUCCAGGUCUAUGUUGUUUUCACAAUCUCUGAAUGUUGUUAGAAUGUUUGUUGGAAUAUAUACAACUUUCAGCAAUGGAUCUCUUGGCUCUCGCAUCGAUGAAGAACGCAGCGAAAUGCGAUAAGUAAUGUGAAUUGCAGAAUUCAGUGAAUCAUCGAAUCUUUGAACGCAUCUUGCGCUCCUUGGUAUUCCGAGGAGCAUGCCUGUUUGAGUGUCAUCAAGUUCUCAACUGCACCAAUCUUUUUUUGGUGUGGCUUUGGAUAUGGGGGAAUUUGUUUUGCAGGCUUUUGAAGUCUGCUCCCCUGAAAUGUAUUAGUGGUAUCUGAGCAGGGACUACUACAGGUGUGAUAAAUCUAUCUAUGCCUUGGUACAAACUGCUACACUGCUUCUAACAGUUUUUGACAAAUUUGACCUCAAAUCAGGUAGGACUACCCGCUGAACUUAAGCAUAUCAAUAAGCGGAGGAAAAGAAACUAACAAGGAUUCCCCUAGUAACUGCGAGUGAAGCGGGAAAAGCUCAAAUUUAAAAUCUGGCGGUUUCUG
rnacentral:rRNA from 1 species